rnacentral:rRNA from 1 species
UUGCUUCUUUGCUGACGAGUGGCGGACGGGUGAGUAAUGUCUGGGAAACUGCCUGAUGGAGGGGGAUAACUACUGGAAACGGUAGCUAAUACCGCAUAACGUCGCAAGACCAAAGAGGGGGACCUUCGGGCCUCUUGCCAUCGGAUGUGCCCAGAUGGGAUUAGCUAGUAGGUGGGGUAACGGCUCACCUAGGCGACGAUCCCUAGCUGGUCUGAGAGGAUGACCAGCCACACUGGAACUGAGACACGGUCCAGACUCCUACGGGAGGCAGCAGUGGGGAAUAUUGCACAAUGGGCGCAAGCCUGAUGCAGCCAUGCCGCGUGUAUGAAGAAGGCCUUCGGGUUGUAAAGUACUUUCAGCGGGGAGGAAGGGAGUAAAGUUAAUACCUUUGCUCAUUGACGUUACCCGCAG